rnacentral:rRNA from 1 species
GACGAACGCUGGCGGCGUGCUUAACACAUGCAAGUCGAACGGAAAGGCCCUGCUUUUGUGGGGUGCUCGAGUGGCGAACGGGUGAGUAACACGUGAGUAACCUGCCCUUGACUUUGGGAUAACUUCAGGAAACUGGGGCUAAUACCGGAUAGGAGCUCCUGCUGCAUGGUGGGGGUUGGAAAGUUUCGGCGGUUGGGGAUGGACUCGCGGCUUAUCAGCUUGUUGGUGGGGUAGUGGCUUACCAAGGCUUUGACGGGUAGCCGGCCUGAGAGGGUGACCGGCCACAUGGGGACUGAGAUAGGGCCCAGACUCCUCGGGGAGGGAGGAGGGGGGAAUUUUGCAAAAGGGGGGGAAGCCUAAGGAAGCAACGCCGGGGGGGGGAUGACGGCCUUGGGGUGGUAAACCGUUUUCGCCUGGGACGAAGCGUGAGGGACGGUAAUGGGUAAAGAAGCACCGGCUAACUACGU